CUGCUUGGGCAGGGUUGGAAAUGGACCUUCUGUGGGAAACAGGGUGGGAGAGGGGCAAGCCAGAGCAGCCAAGUGAUGAUGCUUUCCACAGCCACAGCUGGGAGUAGGACUCACCUUGCCCAACGUGGGACACCCAAAAUGCAGCUGUCAAAUCCUCAGCAAGUUGCCGAUCUGCCUUUACAGUCACAGCAGAGAAGCGGGUGCUUGGCUGUCGGGCCUGACAAGGGAGGCAGUGGGAGAGGCUCCCUGGAAAUGCCCUACCAGAUUUGGACCUAAGCAAACUCCUCUAUCCUCUGUGCACGGGAAUCUGCAAAGCCUCUGCCCUGUGUCCUCCCCCUUGGAGAUCCUAUGGGCACAGGGUUCUCCAGCCAUGCCCAGCUGGCAGAGAUGAAAGCAGGCUCCCUGCUGAGGUCUGAAUGAGGCAACGGUCUUGUGGGAAAAGAUAUAAUAAUGGAGCUGAAGUCUGUAUUAUAAUGUAUUCAGAGCAGGCAGGAGGGACCAAAAAAAAAAGAAAAGGAGACUUGACCUUGGCUUCCUGCCUGGUGCUAAAAGUGUGUUUUGAUGGAACAGGAUAGGCGGGAAAGCAAGCUGCCUCCCUAAUGCAAAUAUCUCAUGGAGCUGUAAGAUGUGUGGAGUGCAACCCAUGGAAAUUUGGAAAUAAGGUUAUGACAAGCUCUGCAGUGAAAGGACAAAAUGGUAUUUUUCAGAGGGUUACAGCUGAGCUUGUUGGAGAAAAGUGGCCACCAGCACAGCAAGGAGCAACUUCUGACACCAGCACUGCAAGUCACAUAAAUGUCAUGAUCCAAGAGGCUCUGGAGCUGUCUUAGACUUUCAAAAAAGAAAACAAAAAUAUGAAAGCAUUUUAUCCCAGCACUUUUUUGUUUUUGUUUUUGAGAAAAAAAAAUCAUGGAAACAUUCCACUGGUUAAUGUCUGCUGAAUAAUCAGUGGCCAGGGCUACUGUGGCUGCAAACAGGCAGAGGCCAACAGAAACCACUCUGCUGCAUUAUCAUCUUGCUGUGUAUCAGCUCAGGACCAUGCACACAGGAUUUGAAAAAACUGAUUUUGUCCUGGUUUCUGAGAUCUUUGCCUUUCCAUGUCCCCAACCUCUUGUUACAUGCAUUAACCAUCUUAUUGAUACAAGGGCAAUUGCUGUUUUGAGGUGCAGCAGGUAUCACUUGCCUCUUUUUUCUGGAAUCUGCCAACAGCCUCUAUAAAGCUUCUGGCACUUCCCUUAACCUGAACAACAAUUUAUUGAGCCUCUGUACAUCGGAGCACCGCUGAGGACAAGACAUCUCUGUUUACCUGAGGAUUCCCAUGGGAGCAGGGGAGCAAAACGGCCAAUUCAUCUGAAAGUCACAGGGGAAAACGUUGCCUGUGACGAAAGCACUUCCCUUUCCUACCUUGAAACUUUGGGAACUGAGUGGUAGGAGGGGGAAUAAACCAAAACACCCCACCCCCACCUUGUUUUCAACAAUUCAGGCUUUUUCAUACUCAAGUUCUUGCUCAGUAACUGACGCAAGCAGAUCUGCAGGCUUCCUACUGCCAAAUGGCUCCAGGUGAGUGGAAGUGCAGGUGUCCUAAGAUAGCAACCUUGUUCUUUUGCCACGGGAGCUGCACCAUCAUCAAAUAUAUUUGUGGCAAAGCUGGCACUUGGAUUCAGUUUACACUCAGUGCUCAAAGUAACCUCUUACUACCCUGGCAGGGAGUUAAACUGGGCAA